CGCUAAGAAGCUAAACAGCGCUAGCCUUUUAAGCUAGAGACUGGGAGACCAUGCUCCCCUGAGCGA
rnacentral:tRNA from 1 species